rnacentral:rRNA from 1 species
GAUGAACGCUGGCGGCGUGCCUAAUACAUGCAAGUCGAGCGAACAGAUGAGGAGCUUGCUCCUCUGACGUUAGCGGCGGACGGGUGAGUAACACGUGGAUAACCUACCUAUAAGACUGGGAUAACUUCGGGAAACCGGAGCUAAUACCGGAUAAUAUAUUGAACCGCAUGGUUCAAUAGUGAAAGACGGUUUUGCUGUCACUUAUAGAUGGAUCCGCGCCGCAUUAGCUAGUUGGUAAGGUAACGGCUUACCAAGGCAACGAUGCGUAGCCGACCUGAGAGGGUGAUCAGCCACACUGGAACUGAGACACGGUCCAGACUCCUACGAGAGGCAGCAGUAGGGAAUCUUCCGCAAUGGGCGAAAGCCUGACGGAGCAACGCCGCGUGAGUGAUGAAGGUCUUCGGAUCGUAAAACUCUGUUAUUAGGGAAGAACAAAUGUGUAAGUAACUAUGCACGUCUUGACGGUACCUAAUCAGAAAGCCACGGCUAACUACGUG